AGCUCAGCUUGGUAGAGCUCUACGUUCGGGACGUAGAGGUCGCAAGUUCAACUCUUGUC
rnacentral:tRNA from 1 species